UUUCGAGCUGUCACUUGAGAUGCAAAUCGACGCUUUCGGAAGAUAUUGAUAUUUAUGAGAUUCUUUUAGACAUUAAAUAGAACAUCGUACAGGCUAUAGGUUGAUUACUUCAAAAUAAGUAUAGUUAUCUUAAACCUCAACUACAAGUAGAACGGUGGAAUUGAACAAGGCAUUAUGUUCAAAACGGUUUAUAUCUCGACCCAUAUCCUCCGGAGCAAUUUACUACCUAAAAACAAUAAUUGCAGCAUCAUUAUCCAGACCCUGGGAAAGAUCACAGAAAAUGUGCUUAGCAACUAACGCCAUCAACGCAUUGCCGACUGAUGCAUCACCGAUACCGUGUAAUUUUAAGCAUCAAACCUCCUAAACUCUCUCUCGAAUACAAAUCUCGAUACCUUCUGUCGUCACCUAAUAUAAAAUAAAUGAUGAAAAGUGCAGUCACCUGGUAUUCUAUUCAUUCAGUUAACAAGAAGCAAAGAUAGAGAAGGAGAAGAAAGGCGACACGACGAUUCGCGAGGCGGCAGAAAAGCCCGAAGAACCGUGGAAACCUUGUUGCUGGAAUACAGUUAGCCCAUUGUUCACGGCGUGAACUUGCAUGUUAACGUGUCGAACAGCAAAUACUCGUUUAACCACGCGUCGACGGAGUCUCGUAGCCUAUACUAAUGUCACGUUCACGCGAUUAGAAACCGCUAAUAAUUAGCCGACCGGAAGAACACCUGGCACGCUCGCCAAUUCGACGCAGUGUUCCACCUUCCUUUCACGCGUUAUGUACUUCAUUGUUUUCUUCUAUCGUCCGUUAAUUCGUGGUUCCAGGAGCUAUUGUAAAAAAGAAACUGGGUUAUUAUUUAAUUUACUGAAUUCCCUGGCACAGCUAUUUAUUUAAUUUAACAAAUUUCCGCAACGUCACGACUGCUGUCGACAGUUUGACUAGAGCCAGGUGAGACAUCCACAGUCUUAUAGCGACCGCCGAGGAAUACGGAUAUAUCUGUUAAAUAUAUAAAUACCUUUAUAUUAUUUUCUGCGUUUAUUUAAUUAGAGCUAGGUGAGAUAUCCACAGUCUUAUAGCGACCGCCGAGCAGUACGGAUGUAUCUGUUUGUAAAUACCUUUAUUUUAUUUUCUGCGUUUAUUUAAUUAGAGCUACGUGAGAUAUUCACAGUCUUAUAGCGACCGCCGAGGAGUACGGAUGUAUUUGUUAAACAUGUAAAUACCUUUAUUUUAUUUUCUGCGUUUAUUUAAUUUGCUGUAUUUAUCUUCUUCACUUAUUGAAUAAACUAAU